GACCGCGUAGCUCAGUUGGCAGAGCAUUGGGUUAGUAUUCCAAAGGUCGUAGGUUCGAUUCCCACUGUGGCCG
rnacentral:tRNA from 1 species